GGACGCGCGCCACGUCGACAACGCCCUCGGCGCGGGCGAUGGCGUCGGGCGGGAGUACGGGCACGCCGCGCACAAUGGAGAUGGGCACGUCGCCCGGAUCGGGCUCGUCGGCGGCCGGGAGGCGCUCCUCGAACCCGAUAACGUCGCCUGUGGCCCGGUCGAACAAGGGCACACGCUCGCGACUCGUGGCGGCGCGCCGCUCAAUGUCCCUGGCGUCGUCCACCAGUGUAUCAAUUUGCUGCAAAAAGGUGACCAUAGCGCGCGGUCCCGCCCCGCCGAUCGCGGCCUCGGCGCUGCCGCCCACCUGGGCAAAGGCCUCCUCCAACAGGCGCCGCCGCAGGGCGUCAUAGGCCGCAGCAUAGUCGACGCCCUCGGUGACCCUUCCGCUGAGCACGGCGCUCACGAGCCACUCGAUGACGGCGGCCUCGUCGCCCGGCGGUAGGGGUCGGUCGCCGGUGAUGGAUGCAAACAGGGCGCCCAGGGCCGCCUCCAAUUCGACUUCGGCCUCGGGCGACACCUCUGGACGCGGCCCGCGCGGCCGUCUUUGUGACCGCGCACGUCGGCGCUCUUGGAUGGCGGGCUCCUCCUUGUCAGAGGGACGCCCUGCGAGCCGCGCGAGAUCCCUUAGUGCCUCAUUGCGUGCUGCGGUCCUUUCCACCAACUCUUCAAGGCGCUCGCGUACGGUGCCGGCGCGCGACAAGACAACGGGCCGCAUGGCAGCACGUGCCAACCGACGCACAUGCCGACGCGCCGGUUCGAUCAUGACUGGCACGACAAAAGAGAGCCUCUGGGCGUCGUCGGCACCCAGACCGCCAAAGCCCUCUAGGGCGUCGCCAAUGGAUGUGCCCUCGUAAAGAUCCCUGGGCGACAGGCCGGGCAGCGGCGCAAUGGCCUCAAAGUCAAAAAGACGUGGAUGGGGCAGAAUUACCCGGUAGGCAUCAAGGUCCGCAUCCGGCGGCAGGGCGCCACGCUCGGCGAGGGCUGCGAUCACUUGGGCGCGCGUCGCAUCGCGAUCGACCAGCACGGCGUCGGACCCGACGAGAUCUCCAUUAGUGUCAAACACAUAGGCAGCGAGGGCGGCCACAUCCGGUGGCUUGUCGGCAAGCGCCUCGUCGGCGGCCGCCGGCAGGCCCGGUCCCAGGCGCACGGGUUCGACGGGCACAUGGCGGCACACGGUGCGCUCGGCAAGGACGUCGGGGUAAAAGGCCGCCAGGUACUCGCUGCGGGUCAUAUAGUCGCGCGUCUCGUGGUUGACAAAGGUCUGGGUCACCGGCUCCCAGCGCCACCGGGCGGCCUCGGCCGGAUCGCCGGCGGUCGGCUGGCGGCCAGCCAGAAAGGGCACCUCGUCGGGCGCCAGUGUCCUGUAGGAGGUGGCGUAGGCGAGGCCCAGCCGCUCCAGGAUGCCCUGCUGGCGCUGGCGGGCCUCUUCUUCGAGCAAGGCAUCGAGCGACGGCUCCAGCGCCAUGGUGACAACCGACGGCGGUUGCUCCUCCAGGACCACCGUCGAUUGACCUCUGCGCGACUGCAUCAUGGUUUUUCUUUUUUUC
rnacentral:lncRNA from 1 species